rnacentral:rRNA from 1 species
AGAACGAACGCUGGCGGCAUGCCUAAUACAUGCAAGUCGAACGAGAUCUUCGGGUCUAGUGGCGCACGGGUGCGUAACGCGUGGGAAUCUACCCUUGGGUUCGGAAUAACAGUUGGAAACGACUGCUAAUACCGGAUGAUGACGAAAGUCCAAAGAUUUAUCGCCCAGGGAUGAGCCCGCGUAGGAUUAGCUAGUUGGUGAGGUAAAGGCUCACCAAGGCUACGAUCCUAGCUGGUCUGAGAGGAUGAUCAGCCACACUGGACUGAGACGACGGCCCAGACCUCCGUACGGAGACAGCAGUAGGAUAGUGACAGUGGGACACCUGACUCC